UGUAAUAGACAUUCUUCCAAGAACUGUGACAUGAAAGUUUACUGAUGAAACAUGCAGAAUCUGAAGGCUAUCUUCGAUACCUCAAUCAAGUUGGUUCUUGAUCCUCCAAAGUCCAAAAAGCCAAAGAGAAAGCAGAGGACCUACAUUUUUCUGUGAUCAAUAUUCUAUUGUUCAGGGUUUUAAGCCAAUUAAGGAUGAUGAUUACUCUCCUUUUUCUCCAUUUUGGAUUUUAUCUUUGUGGUGAGUUCCAUACCCACACCUGCACAUGCUACUGUCAUCUACGACAAUGAUCAAAUCUGGGAUGAACAUUCUUGAAAGGGAAGUUAGAGGUUCAAAAAGGAAGGAUGAAGCCUUGAGAAAUGAGUAUCGGCUUCAAAAAAAUGAGGAUGGG